UUGUCCUACGGGACGCAGCAGUGGGGAAUAUUGGGCAAUGGAGGAAACUCUGACCCAGCAACGCCGCGUGAAUGAUGAAGGUCUUCGGAUUGUAAAGUUCUUUUCUAAGGGAAGAAGAAAGUGACGGUACCUUAGGAAUAAGCCUCGGCUAACUACGUGCCAGCAGCCGCGGUAAUACGUAGGAGGCAAGCGUUAUCCGGAAUGACUGGGCGUAAAGGGUGCGUAGGUGGUUUGGCAAGUUAGUAGCGUAACUCCGGGGCUCAACUCCGGAACUACUACUAAAACUGUCGGACUUGAGUGCAGGG
rnacentral:rRNA from 1 species